GUCCCCGUCGUUCAACUGGACAGGACACCUGGCUACGAACCAGGAAAGUGUAGGUUCGAAUCCCACCGGGUGCACCA
rnacentral:tRNA from 1 species